GGGACAGCACCCAGGUUAGACUGUUACUUUCCACAACAACUCCAACUCCAGUCAGAUGCAAUGGUAGAUUAUAUAACUGCACUCUCUCAUGCCUUGACCAAAAUCCAUGCACAGGUGUUUUCUUCUAUUCCAGAUCCAGAAUCCAACACAGGCACGCACAAGUUACUUCCCGGUGAUUGGGUUAUGGUCAAGAAAUUCCUAAGAAAGCAUACUCUUGAGCCAAG